rnacentral:lncRNA from 1 species
AGGGAAUGAGCGUGAAAUGGCUGUACUUUCGGGAGGCCAGCUAACUAUGUGGCUGCCCCGAGUGAGGCAGGCCCAGCAGGAUGGCAGACACAGAGGCAGGGGCAGAGUUUCUGGUCUUGCUCUUUAAGACCAAGUCUUAGCCCUGCCUGUUACUAAAUGCAAUCCAAUGAGUGUUUCACAUUUUGAUCCAAUUAGAAAUGCCUUCUCCCCUGAAGGUAACCCACCAGGAAUGGGGCAGAGACAGGCCUAGGCAGGAAAGAGGCUAGAAAUUCCUCUUUUCUUCACAUAACUUGGGAGAAAACAGUCUGUGCACCCAAAGAGUUUUCAAAUUCCCCUGAAUUAAGAUUUCUUUAUUUUUAGUUAAAAUAAAUCUGUGUUCCUCUCCUAGAUAACUCUGAGAUCUCAGACACAGAAAGGAUCCUGAGAACUUCUGCUGGGAGAGAGGAUGGUUACUAUUUGGGUCGUAGAUAAAUGAAUGGGAACAUCACAAGACAGUACGUAGGAAUAAAUGGGAUCAGAUUGAAUACAGACAGGCAUCCUGGCAAAGAAUCAAUCUAAAGGGAAGUACAAACUUCAUGCUCCACUGAUUGGUGGGGGGACCAAGUCGAUCUUACGGGAUCACAGUGGAGGACAAAAGGAGAGCAGGAAGAGUCAGUAUUUGUCAUGGGAUCCUUGUUGUAUUGAAACUGCACUUUUGAAAGUACAGAAGCACCUGUGGAGAACAUCAAAGAGAGCCGAGUGGAGCCGAGAGGAGACUAGAGAGUCAUGGAAGAAAAUAGUGAGAGACAGCAGGUGAACCACUCCGAUGAGAGAUAGGUGCGUGGAAUUCCAGAAGCGUUUGUCAGCGUUCCUAUUGACAUUUCUUUCUUUAAAUCCUCUAAUAAAAAGGAUGAAUUUUC